rnacentral:rRNA from 1 species
CUCAGAUUGAACGCUGGCGGCAUGCCUUACACAUGCAAGUCGAACGGCAGCACGGGAGCAAUCCUGGUGGCGAGUGGCGAACGGGUGAGUAAUAUAUCGGAACGUGCCCAGUCGUGGGGGAUAACGUAGAGAAAUUUACGCUAAUACCGCAUACGAUCUAAGGAUGAAAGCGGGGGACCGUAAGGCCUCGCGCGAUUGGAGCGGCUGAUAUCAGAUUAGGUUGUUGGUGAGGUAAAAGCUCACCAAGCCGACGAUCUGUAGCUGGUUUGAGAGAACGACCAGCCACACUGGGAAUGAGACACGGCCCAGACUCCUACGGGAGGCAGCAGUGGGGAAUUUUGGACAAUGGGCGAAAG